GCCCUUCCUACGGGAGGCAGCAGGGGGGAAUUUUGGACAAUGGGCGCAAGCCUGAUCCAGCAAUGCCGCGUGCAGGAAGAAGGCCUUCAGGUUGUAAACUGCUUUUGUCAGGGAAGAAAUCUUCUGGGCUAAUACCCCGGGAGUAUGACGGUACCUGAAGAAUAAGCACCGGCUAACUAUGUGCCAGCAGCCGCGGUAAUACGUAGGGUGCGAGCGUUAAUCGGAAUUACUGGGCGUAAAGCGUGCGCAGGCGGCUUUGCAAGACAGAUGUGAAAUCCCCGGGCUCAACCUGGGAACUGCACUUGUGACUGCAAGGCUAGAGUACGGCAGAGGGGGAUGGAAUUCCGCGUGUAGCAGUGAAAUGCGUAGAUAUGCGGAGGAACACCAAUGGCGAAGGCAAUCCCCUGGGCCUGUACUGACGCUCAUGCACGAAAGCGUGGGGAGCAAACAGGAUUAGAUACCCUGGUAGUCCACGCCCUAAACGAUGUCAACUGGUUGUUGGACGGCUUGCUGUUCAGGAACGAAGCUAACGCGUGAAGUUGACCGCCUGUGGAGUACGGCCGCAAGGUUAAACUCAAAGGAAUUGACGGAAGGGC
rnacentral:rRNA from 1 species